rnacentral:rRNA from 1 species
CCUACGGGUGGCAGCAGUGAGGAAUAUUUGUCAAUGGGCGCGAGCCUGAACCAGCCAAGUCGCGUGAAGGAAGACAGCCCUACGGGUUGUACACCUCUUUUGUCUGGGAGCAACUUACGCCACGUGUGGCGCCACUGAGAGUACCCGCAGAAACAGCAUCGGCUAACUCCGUGCCAGCAGCCGCGGUCAUACGGAGGGUGCGAGCGUUAUCCGGAUUUAUUGGGUUUAAGGGGUACGUAGGCGGAAGGUUAAGUCAGUGGUAACAAUUAGGGGCUCAACCCCGUCCUGCCGUUGAAACUGGCGUUCUUGAGUGGAAGAGAAGUAUGCGGAAUGCGUGGUGUAGCGGUGAAAUGCAUAGAUAUCACGAAGAACCCUGAUGGCGAAGGCAGCAUGCCGGCUUCCUACUGACGCUGAAGCACGAAAGCGAGGGGAUCGAACAGGAUUAGAUACCCGUGUAGUC